AUUGAACGCUGGCGGCAUGCUUUACACAUGCAAGUCGAACGGUAACAGGCCGCAAGGUGCUGACGAGUGGCGCACGGGUGAGUAAUGCAUCGGAACGUGCCCAGUCGUGGGGGAUAACUACUCGAAAGAGUAGCUAAUACCGCAUACGAUCUAUGGAUGAAAGCAGGGGACCGUAAGGCCUCGCGCGAUUGGAGCGGCCGAUGUCAGAUUAGGUAGUUGGUGGGGUAAAGGCUCACCAAGCCAACGAUCUGUAGCUGGUCUGAGAGGACGACCAGCCACACUGGGACUGAGACACGGCCCAGACUCCUACGGGAGGCAGCAGUGGGGAAUUUUGGACAAUGGGCGCAAGCCUGAUCCAGCAAUGCCGCGUGCAGGAAGAAGGCCUUCGGGUUGUAAACUGCUUUUGUACGGAACGAAACGGCUCUGGUUAAUACCCGGGGCUAAUGACGGUACCGUAAGAAUAAGCACCGGCUAACUACGUG
rnacentral:rRNA from 1 species